UGCUCCUUAGUGUAAAAAACAUUCCUGAUUUGCAUUCAGGGGAUGGGGGUAGCUCUCCAGGAGCAG